rnacentral:tRNA from 1 species
GCGGCGUUAGCUCAGUUGGAUAGAGCGUCUGGCUUCGAACCAGAAGGUCGGGAGUUCGAGUCUCUCACGCUGCACCA